rnacentral:pre_miRNA from 1 species
GGUGCCCCGGAAUAUCAGGAGGACGCAUUCGUUUUACGCAUGCGUCCUCGUGAUACUUCCGGUCAUUC